rnacentral:rRNA from 1 species
UACGGAGGGAGCUAGCGUUGUCCGGAAUUAUUGGGCGUAAAGAGCUCGUAGGCGGUUUGUUGCGUCUAUCGUGAAAACCUGCAGCUUAACUGUGGGCUUGCGGUGGAUACGGGCAGACUUGAGUUCGGUAGGGGAGACUGGAACUCCUGGUGUAGCGGUGGAAUGCGCAGAUAUCAGGAAGAACACCGACGGCGAAGGCAGCUCGCUGGGACGGUACUGACGCUGAGGCGCGAAAGCGUGGGGAGCAAACAGG